GACGAACGCUGGCGGCGUGCCCAAUACAUGCAAGUCGGACGCAGUUGCGAACGCGUGAGUAACGCGUAGGUAACUACCUAUUAGAGGGGGAUAACUACUGGAAACGCUAGCUAAUACCGCAUACUAGUAGAUGGACCUGCGUUGUAUUAGCUAGUAGGUAGGGUAAUGGCCUACCUAGGCAACGAUCCAUAGCCGACCUGGAGAGGUGGUCAGACAAACUGGGGCGUGGACAAGGCCCAGACCCCUUCGGGGGGGAACAGGUGGGAAAUGUCGGCAAUGGGGGGAACGCUUGACGAGCAACGCCGGGGGGGUGGAGAAGGGUUUCGGAUCGGUAAGCUAUGUUGUUAAGGGAGCGGUACUAAACCAGAAAGGGACGGCUAACUACGUGCCAGCAGCCGCGGUAAUAC
rnacentral:rRNA from 1 species